rnacentral:rRNA from 1 species
GCUGGCGGCGUGCUUAACACAUGCAAGUCGAACGGAAAGGCCCUGCUUUUGUGGGGUGCUCGAGUGGCGAACGGGUGAGUAACACGUGAGUAACCUGCCCUUGACUUUGGGAUAACUUCAGGAAACUGGGGCUAAUACCGGAUAGGAGCUCCUGCUGCAUGGUGGGGGUUGGAAAGUUUCGGCGGUUGGGGAUGGACUCGCGGCUUAUCAGCUUGUUGGUGGGGUAGUGGCUUACCAAGGCUUUGACGGGUAGCCGGCCUGAGAGGGUGACCGGCCACAUUGGGACUGAGAUACGGCCCAGACUCCUACGGGAGGCAGCAGUGGGGAAUAUUGCACAAUGGGCGGAAGCCUGAUGCAGCAACGCCGCGUGCGGGAUGACGGCCUUCGGGUUGUAAACCGCUUUCGCCUGUGACGAAGCGUGAGUGACGGUAAUGGGUAAAGAAGCACCGGCUAACUACGUGCCAGCAGCCGCGGUGAUACGUAGGGUGCGAGCGUUGUCCGGAUUUAUUGGGCGUAAAGGGCUCGUAGGUGGUUGAUCGCGUCGGAAGUGUAAUCUUGGGGCUUAACCCUGAGCGUGCUUUCGAUACGGGUUGACUUGAGGAAGGUAGGGGAGAAUGGAAUUCCUGGUGGAGCGGUGGAAUGCGCAGAUAUCAGGAGGAACACCAGUGGCGAAGGCGGUUCUCUGGGCCUUUCCUGACGCUGAGGAGCGAAAGCGUGGGGAGCGAACAGGCUUAGAUACCCUGGUAGUCCACGCUGUAAACGGUGGGUACUAGGUGUGGGGUCCAUUCCACGGGUUCCGUGCCGUAGCUAACGCUUUAAGUACCCCGCCUGGGGAGUACGGCCGCAAGGCUAAAACUCAAAGGAAUUGACGGGGCCCCGCACAAGCGGCGGAGCAUGCGGAUUAAUUCGAUGCAACGCGUAGAACCUUACCUGGGUUUGACAUGGAUCGGGAGUGCUCAGAGAUGGGUGUGCCUCUUUUGGGGUCGGUUCACAGGUGGUGCAUGGCUGUCGUCAGCUCGUGUCGUGAGAUGUUGGGUUAAGUCCCGCAACGAGCGCAACCCUUGUUCACUGUUGCCAGCACGUUAUGGUGGGGACUCAGUGGAGACCGCCGGGGUCAACUCGGAGGAAGGUGGGGAUGACGUCAAGUCAUCAUGCCCCUUAUGUCCAGGGCUUCACGCAUGCUACAAUGGCUGGUACAGAGAGUGGCGAGCCUGUGAGGGUGAGCGAAUCUCGGAAAGCCGGUCUCAGUUCGGAUUGGGGUCUGCAACUCGACCUCAUGAAGUCGGAGUCGCUAGUAAUCGCAGAUCAGCAACGCCGCGGUGAAUACGUUCCCGGGGCUUGUACACACCGCCCGUCAAGUCAUGAAAGUUGGUAACACCCGAAGCCGGUGGCCUAACCGUUGUGGGGGAGCCGUCGAAGGUGGGACUGGUGAUUAGGACUA